GCGGAAGGGUGAUGCUGAGUGGCGUCAUCGGCUCAAUAAUUCUUGGGAAUGGGAUGCAAUGGGAAAAGGUGAAGGUAGAAUGCAUUUUGACUCACGAAAAAUGGAUAAUAGGGAACCAACUCCAGUUAGUGGCCAGGUGCUGCGAACCCAAUCCGAGCGAUUUGUACAAGCGCACUGAGGCAUGGUUUUGGAAUAGCGAACCGAACAAGAUAGAGACACCGACUGCUCGAGAAAUCAAACCCUUCAGAAAAGGUUGAAUAGUUCAGCUGCCUACGAGUGACAAGUGCCAAUCGUUUUGCUCCUUGCAGAACUGAUUUAAUGUGGCAAUGCAGGUCUCAAACCAAGUUCCACAGAAUUCAACAGCAUUUGUUCGGUUCAAUUUAGGACUAGAUUUACCCUAUGUAAAAGCUAGCUUAUGUUUUUCAAGGUGUGAGAUGUGCUGCUAUUUGCUCCCAAUGUUGUCCAUCA
rnacentral:lncRNA from 1 species